rnacentral:rRNA from 1 species
AUGUUUAUGCAGUUCAUCGAACUUGCAGAUUGUGUAAAAAUUUCUCAUGUUCCAGAUAGCAUCUUGAAGCUGCGAAAGCUAAGGUAUAUCAACUUUGCUGGCACCAACAUAGCAUCAAUUCCUCGUGGAUUUGGGAAGCUGGAAGAUUUGGUCAUGAUAUCUGGGUUUCCAACUCAUUCAGAUGAUAAUACAGAUCAAGUAUGGUCCAGUCUGGAAGAACUAGGGCCUUUGUCGAGACUCACAAUGCUUGUCAUAGAAAGUUUGGAGAAGGCAUCUUCUGGUUCUGUGGCCGCUAGAGCAAAACUUAGUAGUAAAGCCCACCUAAGAAUUUUGAACCUGGGAUUUACACAGAAUAGGGAGGUGGAAGAGCAAAACAAUGGGGAGCAAGAGAGAAUCGAGGAGGUUUUGGGUAAUCUCUGUCCUCCAACCUGCAUAGAACAGCUUGCCAUCAUUGGAUACUUUGGACACAAACUUCCCCAGUGGAUGAGAAUGGUGCCAGUCUUUACCUUCUUAAAGCGGCUUGAGCUAUCAAGUUACGCUUGCUAUGAGCUGCCUUCUGGCUUAGGCCAACUCCCCUCUCUUGACUAUUUUUGGGUUGACCAAGCUCCAUUCAUCAAGUAUAUCGGUCAUGGUCUUCGCAUGCCCUCAAUUGGUGGUCGGGACAUCGGCCUAGAUAAGACACUUUCUGGUGGUGCUGCUGUUGUUGCAUUUCCCAAGCUGAGAAAACUUGGGUUUCAGGGGAUGUUGGGACUGACAGAGUGGGAAUGGGAGCAGCAAAUCCCAGCUAUGACAACUUUAGAGGUGCUUACAAUUGUCAAUUGUCAGCUCAAGUAUCUCCCUCCUGGACUUGCACAUCAUGCAAAUGCACUGCGGGAGUUGGAUCUAAGAAACCUCUCGCACCUGGUCUCCAUACACAACUUCCCUUCACUCGUUGAGCUUCGCAUAGUUGACAACCGAACACUAGAGAGAAUCUAUAACAAUCCAAAUUUGCAGCAUAUUUACAUCGUUAGCUGCCCAGGGCUAAAGGUAUUGGAAGAUUUGCCAUCACUCCAGAGCAUCGAAUGGGUGGAUGUGACUGCUCAAGUGCUCCCAGAUUACUUCCGGCACUCAAAGUUAGAGAAGUUGAUUGUACAAUGCUACAUAAGCUUGCUCAAACUGAUAUCCUUACAAGAUGCCAACUCUUCGGAAUCCGAGUGGGGAAAGAUCCAGCAUGUUCACCAACUAAAAGCAACUGGGUACAUAUCAGCAGAAGAGACACGAUAUAUCUCCUACACCAAGGAGCCCUACUCCUACAAAACAGACAUUGAACGACUGGAUGAAUUUGUAAAUGUGGUGGUUGAAUAA